GAUAACCUCCAUCGCAAACCAAUUUUCUCCAGAAUUUUCUUUUUCCGCCUCAGUGCACGCUGGUCUAACCUCUGAACCCUAAUACUGAUUUUCCUUUUCCUUUUCCUUUUCUUCUUCUCAUUAUCAGACGUUUGUGAAUUCUACGGCCUUUGUGAUUCAGGUGAGGAAAUUUUUUGUCUGUAUGGACAUCCUAAUGAAACAUGGGAAAUGGUUCUUCCAGUAGGCAGAGGUUCCACCGGAGCUUCUAGAGCCUGCACUUGGAAUUAAUUUUGCAACAGAUGGCAUGGACAGAAAAUAUUGGCGACCUCUUGUUGCUGUACAUGGUGAUUCCUGUUUGCUCUCUGUGGCUUUCUAUUUUGGAGCAAGACUUGACCGAAGCAAAAGGGUAACUGAAACAUUCAAAGCCUUGCUUUCGGCUUCCCUAGCUAAGCCACAAUGAUGUUUUUCUAUCCUUUGGGCACUGAGAAAAGGCAGAUGCUGCAAAUGAAGGGGGUACACCUUACAAGACAAUGUUUGAUGCUUUUGCAGGUAAAAUUUGUAUUAGUUGUUAUGUCUGGAAGUGAUUUUAUAUUAUUAUAGUUGGUUAUUAGUUGUUAUAAGUAAUUCUGAAGUGUGGCAAUGAUUAUUUAGAGUGAAAUCUGGGCUCUGACAUACAUGAUUUAUGUUCUUUGUAAUUCUGUGCUCAUUAUCUAUGUGAGUAUGCGUUCUUGUCCUCAA